AGACCACCCUUUGAGCAGAACAAUCCAUCGAUUUCCUUGCCCUCCACCAGCACAUCAACCUUCUCCUCCCCGGUCAAUUCGUUCUCAUCUCUGCUCCUCUCGAAUCAUUAUCCACUCCCUACAACCAGCACUGCGCCUUGGAACGACAGCAGCAACAGCAACCAUGCUCAGCAGCUCCGAGAUCCAUGGAACCAUCUCUUCAUGCCAACCAAUGGUGAAUUAGCUAAUGAUGAGGAGAGGCACAAGAAUUUGGAAGGGCAGGCGCUGUUUCCAGCUACAAUCACCGGAGAAGGGGAAGAAGGCGAUGGGAGCAGCGCCGCCGGCCACAUCUACAACAACACCGCUAGACAUGGGAGCAGCCCGGCUGGCAAUGAGUUCCAAUUGGCAAUGUCCUCUCCAUCUCCAUGGUCCAGGGGUGUUCAGCACUACCACAACACCCUGCAGCACCAAGCUUCCUCCAUCACCUCCACCAGCUCCCUCGGAAAUAACAUCUUGGACUUCUCAAACAAUGGUUCGCCACGUGAGUGCACGAGCACAGCAUCUGGAGCAGCUUUCAAGAAGGCUAGGACCCAAGAACCCUCCCCGGCUCAAUCUACUGUUAAGGUGAGAAAGGAGAAGCUAGGGGAUAGAAUAACUGCCCUUCACCAGCUCGUCUCCCCAUUUGGGAAGACUGACACUGCGUCUGUACUCCUUGAAGCCAUUGGGUACAUCAGAUUCCUACACGGUCAAAUUGAGGGCCUGAGCUCGCCGUACCAGCUGGUCGGCGGCGGCGGCGACGGAGGUGGGGGCUCCGGCAGCGCCAAGCAGCGGCACCAGGCCAGCGUGCAACAAAAAGAAAGGAGCAGCAUAUUUCCAGAAGAGCCUGGCCAGCUGCUACAUGGCAAUGCCACGAGGAAGAGAGGACGCCCUGAUCAGGACGAAGACAGCUGCGAGGAAGCAAUGACGAAGGACCUGCGGAGCAGGGGGCUCUGCCUCGUCCCGGUGAGCUGCGCGCCGGACUUCGGCGCCGACGUCGGGCCGGCUGACUACUGGACGGUGGCGCCGCCUUUCGGGAUGGGGUUCGGCCGGUAG
rnacentral:rRNA from 1 species